rnacentral:rRNA from 1 species
UACGUAGGGGGCAAGCGUUGUCCGGAUUUAUUGGGCGUAAAGAGCGUGUAGGCGGCUAGGUAGGUGGGUUGUGAAAACUGGAGGCUCAACCUCGAGACGUCGGUUGAAACCGUAAGGCUAGAGUCCGGAAGAGGAGAGUGGAAUUCCCGGUGUAGCGGUGAAAUGCGCAGAUAUCGGGAAGAGCACCCGUGGCGAAGGCGGCUCUCUGGGACGGUACUGACGCUGAGACGCGAAAGCGUGGGGAGCGAACAGG